GAACCUAUCAGCAUGAUGAAGGCCUGGAGGGUGUCUGUGUAAAUAACUGAGGCCAAGCCCCCUGUGGAGAGAAAAAAAAGAACCAGGAUAUUUCACUCAGGUGCCCUGGCCUACUGGCCUUCACCUCUAAGUCCUCUUCUACCCAAACACUGGAAAUGACUCAGCAGAGAACAAAAGGAAAGCUCCUGGCUGGGCCACAAGCUCCUCUUGGCAUCAUUAUCUCCUGAGAAGUCCAGUUAUGAACUCCUUGGAAGCCAGAUCUCAUCCUCAGAUGACCAUUAUUGGAUGGACCACAGAGAGGAAUGAUGAGCAAGUGGCUGGAAAGUGAGAAGCGGCUACACUACAGCUUGUGUGGACUACUCUUUCAUCAUGGAAAAAGCCUCUGCUGUCACUUACAUUCCAUUCAAACACGGCAAUGACAAUUCCUGAAGCCGCUCCGGUCCCGGCCAGCCCCACGAAGUGGCCACUGCCGAUGUUACUGGCGAAGAGAGAGGCGCCCAUCUGGAAUCCGAGAGAACAGACCAA